GGGGAAUUUUGGACACUGGGGGCAACCCUGAUCCAGCCAUGCCGCGUGAGUGAAGAAGGCCUUCGGGUUGUAAAGCUCUUUCGGCCGGGAAGAAAUCGUGCAGGCUAAUACCCUGUAUGGAUGACGGUACCGGCAUAAUAAGCACCGGCUAACUACGUGCCAGCAGCCGCGGUAAUACGUAGGGUGCAAGCGUUAAUCGGAAUUACUGGGCGUAAAGCGUGCGCAGGCGGUUUUGUAAGACAGUGGUGAAAUCCCCGGGCUCAACCUGGGAACUGCCAUUGUGACUGCAAGGCUGGAGUGCGGCAGAGGGGGAUGGAAUUCCGCGUGUAGCAGUGAAAUGCGUAGAUAUGCGGAGGAACACCGAUGGCGAAGGCAAUCCCCUAGGCCUACACUGACGCUCAUGCACGAAAGCGUGGGGAGCAAACA
rnacentral:rRNA from 1 species